GCUAUAUAUGAUGCAUAUUCAGAGUUUGGCACUCUAUUACACAAGAGGAAAAUGAUGAGUGGGCUGCUUACCAUGUACUCCAUGUUGGCUGCAGUCUGAUGCUGCUUCUGGCUUUUAUACUGUGCUGUGAUUCAGGAGGCGAGCGCAAGGUGCUCAGCUUCCCGCCGGUCACCUGAACCAACAAUUUUUCCCGCCAACAACAAGCACAAAGCUGGUGUGUGGUGAGAGUACUGGCGCACUAUGGCUGCCGUCGCAUCAUCCAGGUGGAUGCUGCACACUGGUGGUGGUUGAGGAGAGUGUUCACUUUGAAAAGCGCUUUGAGUGUAGUGUCAGAAAAGCGCUAUAUAAAUGUAAUGUUCAUUCAUUCAUUCAUUCACACCACUUGACUUGAAGGGAUAGUUCACCCAAAAAUGAAAAUUCUCUCAUUAUUUACUCACUCUUGUGCCAUCCAAGGUGUGUAUGACAUUCUUUCUUCUACUGAACACAAAUGGCAACCCACUCUCACAGCGAAAUCAUAAGGAUUUGUUCGGCUUUGGUAAAUUUGGCUAAUUCGUAUGAUAUCAAAUGAUGACUGCACUCAUAUGAAUUCUUAUGUCUUUCACUACAGCCAAUGACGUCGCCGGACAUCGUUUCCAUCUAUUACACAACAAUUACUUGCUUCUGUCACACUCAACAGCUUCCUAUCAUGUUUACACACUCUACUGAUCAACAGGGUUGGGAAGGUUACUUUUGAAAUGUAUUCCACUACAGAUUACAGAAUACAUGCUGUAAAAUGUCAUUUGUAACGUAUUUCGUUAGAUUACUCAAGGUCAGUAACAUAUUCUAAAUACUUUGGAUUACUUCUUCAGCACUGGUAGAUUUUUUCACUUGUUUUGGCUUUUUAGAUAUUUUUACAGGAAAACAAUACAAAAAUUAUUAUCAAGAAUAUGAUUUUUGUCCUAAUAUCAAAGGUCUGACUAGAAAAAGAAAUAAUGAUCCAACGUGAAUUUUCUUGAUAAAAAAAUAUGAUCGUGCCAGGUAACAUGUGCAUGUAAAAUGGCUAGAAAUAGCAUUUUAUCUUCGUGUAAAGCUGACAAUUUACACAAGGUUUAUUUCUAUUUCUUCGGCUCCAAACUUACUUCAAACUUACUUCUCUGUCUGCUCGUAUGAAUGUAACACAUCAUAAGAAAGUGUUUCAUCGCUGUUCAAAUGCACUUUCGAUCGCAUCAUUUAUAUGUAUAAAUAUUUCCAUCUGAAAGGACUAAAUAUUAAAUGAAACAAAUGACAAUAAAAUGCAAAAUAAUCUCUUCAGUAAUCAAAAUACAUUUUGAAUGUAACUGUAUUCUAAUUACCAAUUAGUUAAAUUGUAACUGUAGUGGAGUACAGUUACUCAUAUUUUGUACUUUAAAUACAUAAUCCCGUUACAUGUAUUCCAUUACUCCCAAACCCUGCUGAUCGGUUAGGUUUAGAUAAGGGGUUUAAGUAAGGGCAUAAUAUUAAUAAGCAUGUCCUUGACACCUCACACAAAGAACUAAAAAGCAGAUAAAAACAGAAUAAAAGUAAUCCAUAUGACUCCAGUGGUUAAAUCUAUAUCAAAAGUGAUAUGAUAAGUGUGGGUGAGAAACAGAUCAAUUCCUUACACCGCUUUAAUGACUUUUUAAUCAUUUUUAUUAUUUUUUUAGAAAAUGCUGUGUCAAGUCAUUUUUAUUUGUAUAACGCUUUUCACAACAAACAUUGUUUCAAGGCAGCUUUACAUGAAAUCAUGCAUUAACAAAAAAAUGAAACUGUAAUAUCAUUGUGUAGUUUGAUUAAAUGACUGUAAAUUGUGUAUAGAAAUUAAAUCAUUAAAUAUUAAUUGUAUUUAGAACCCCAAUGAGCAAGCCAAAGGUGACUGUGGCAAGGAACACAAAACUCUGUAAGAUGUUAGUUAAUGGAGAAAAAUAACCUUGGGAGAAAUCAGGCUCACUGUGGGGGCCAGUUCCCCUAUGCCUAAACAACAUGAAUAUAAUGCCAAUAUUAGUUAUUUGUAUGCAGUGCAAGUCAUGGAUUAAAAUGUGUAAACUAAGUAAGUGUUAAGGGCCAGUGUUUAAACAAAGAUUUUGUAUGAACUGUAAGAUUAAUGACUAAUUUUGGAUUAACUGCAGAAGUUCACAUAGAUGCAUUGUUUUUUGUUAGUUGGCUGGCAAAGGCUUUUGUUGGCAAUUAAUUGAUAGUCUAUGUAUUCCAUUUCAAGAGUGUAGUCCAUCAGUAAACAAAGGUGUUUUUAAAAAAUGUAUGUAACCAACAGGAACAGAAAAAAACUGACGUGUUUUAAAUAGAUUUUUGAAAGAUUUCUCAUUUCAUCA